UAAGAAAGUUGCUGGAUUAUCUUGUUAGGUAUGAUGCAGUGAGUUAUUUGAAAUAUUUGGAUACACUUAGGGUGUCAGAGAGUUUCCGGUCUGUUUGGAUAUUUGCAGAGUCCAGCUUUAAGAUAUUUGACCAUGCAAAGAAGCGUGUCUAUCGUUUGGCAAGAUCAAAUGAUGCAAAAGUAAAUGGGCUGAGUAAGAACACUUUGGGCAAAAAGAGAAAACUAAAGAGGGAUGAUGAUAAUGAGGAAAAAGCUGAUGGUGCUUCAUCCACUGGUACAAAUAGUGAGGUUAUAUUGGAGGAGGUUUUGGAGGCAGCACCAAAGUGGAAGGCGUUACUUGAGAUUCUUGAAGAGAUAGAGGAAGAAAGACAAAAGCAGGCCUUGUCAAGAGAAGACCUGGUUGAAAGUGAAGAGGUUGAUAGUGGCAUCGUCGUAGUGGCAUGCAAAGAUGAAUGCUCAUGCAUGCAGCUUGAAGAUUUCGUCACAAAUGGCCCCCAGAAGGUAUUGCGAGAAGAAUGGGAGAAGUACUUGUUGAGCAAGGUAGAAUUGCGUCAUUUGCAAAUACCUCAGAAAAAGAAACAUAAACCAAGGGAAUCAAAAGGAUUUGGCAUUCUUGAUGGAGUUGUUCCUGUUACAACUACAAAGAAUGCAGAAUCUACCAGUGUAAACAAGCAGGAACAUGAUGCCCUGUUGGCAGCAGCAUCGGAGAUAAGAAAUCGGUGUAGGAGGGAUUAUAUUGUUGACGAUGAACCACAGGUUCUUGUUGACAGCAAACAUCAAAAAGGAAGGGGAAAAGGACAGGAUAAAAGAGGUCGAAGAAAAAAUGCUCUGAAAUCCAGAAAUAAAGAUGAUGAUGCCAAUAACAAAGUGGCAAGAAGUGAUAAGCCUGAAAUAUCUAGUUCAGAGCGAAAGGGCCAAAUAGCUGAUAAUUAUCCAGCUAUUGCAGAUGGUUAUCCUGAAAACAGCUUGAAGAGUGCAUCUAUAGACCAAGGGGAUAUUUGGAGGCGUACUCAACAGCCCAGUUCUGCCUACUGCAACGGUAAGCAAAUACCGCCAGUGCACUUUUACGCGCAAGAAAGCGAUCAGCCUAUACUCGACAUUUUGAAGCCCUCUGUAAUUAUUGUUUACCAUCCGGACAUGACAUUUGUCCGAGAAAUCGAAGUCUAUAAGGCUGAAAAUCCCUCAAAGAAGUUAAAAGUUUAUUUUCUUUUCUAUGAAGAUUCUACUGAGGUCCAAAAGUUUGAGGCAAGCAUACGCAGGGAGAACGGAGCAUUUGAAUCAUUGAUUCGACAGAAAUCUUUGAUGAUGAUUCCAGUUGAUCAGAAUGCAAAUUGCCUGGGAUUGGAUUCUUCUAUGGAGUCGCAGCCUUCUAGUUCCCAAAAUUCAAUAACCAGAAAGGCUGGUGGAAGAAAAGAAGUUGAGAAGGAAAUGCAGGUCAUAGUGGACAUGAGGGAAUUCAUGAGCAGUCUUCCAAAUGUUCUCCACCAGAAAGGGAUGCGUAUCAUACCAGUGACCUUGGAAGUGGGGGACUAUAUCCUCUCUCCAUUAAUAUGUGUGGAGAGAAAGAGUAUUCAAGAUCUUUUUAUGAGCUUCACAUCUGGCCGCCUUUACCACCAAGUGGAAACAAUGGUCCGUUAUUAUAGAAUACCUGUUCUUCUGAUUGAAUUUUCGCAAGACAAAAGCUUUUCGUUUCAGUCAGCAAGUGAUAUUGGUGAUGAUGUCACGCCAAAUAGUAUCAUAUCCAAGCUCUCAUUGCUUGUUAUGCACUUUCCACGCUUGCGAAUCAUCUGGUCUCGCAGUUUGCAUGCUACUGCUGAAAUAUUUGCUUCACUGAAGGCAAAUCAGGAUGAACCCGAUGAAGCCAAGGCAAUCAGAAUUGGUGUCCCGUCAGAGAAGAGGGUAUUGUGGAAAAUGAUGUGAGAGCUGAGAACUACAACACAUCUGGUGUCGAGUUUUUAAGACGACUCCCCGGAGUGACAGAUUCCAACUACAGGGCCAUAAUGGAUGGAUGUAAAAGCUUAUCUGAACUUGCCCUUCUUCCUGUAGAGAGGCUAACUGAACUAAUGGGUGGUCAAAAGGCUGCUCGGACUCUGAGAGACUUCCUUGACGCCAAGUAUCCAACCUUGUUAUAAUGUUGUUUAGUAUGGUUCAUGUGGUACGGAAGUUGUUUCUUAUUUAUUCAUUGCUGUGUUAUCACAGAAAUUCUGAAUUAGAGUAACAUGCAAUUUAUUGUUGUUGUAGAAUUGGUAAUUAGGGAUUUUUAUCAUUCGAGCAGAAUAUUUUGUUAUUUUCUCAUCUUGUUUCUUUGCAUGGAAAGCUAAGCUUUUAUGCAGACACGUGAGAUUUUUAUCAAAAUGUAUACUUUGAAGAAAUCAAAG
rnacentral:misc_RNA from 1 species